AGAGCCAGCGUUACGGCAUGAGCGGCGAUGACUCGAUCAGCUUCCUGACCCUCGACGGUUUUAACGUGACCGUCGAAGGCACGAUUGAAUACGGCAUCCAGCGCGAUUUCGCGGCGCUGCUAACCCACCGCGUCGGCGACAUGGACGACAUCAUCAAGAAGAUCAUCCUGCCCCGCGCGCGCGGAUUCAGCCGCAUCGAGGGCAGCAAACACCCGGCCAUCAACUUCAUCGUCGGCGAGACGCGCCAGGGUUUCCAGCGCGACCUCGAGACCCACCUGCGCGAGAAGUGCACCCCCUGGGGCGUGGACAUCAAAUCGGUGCUGGUCCGCAAGAUCAUCGUGCCCGACGAGAUCGCCAGCAUCAGCCGCGACCGCGAAGUCGCGGUGCAGAACGCGCUCAAGUUUGAGCAGCAGAUCGACCAGGCCCAGUCGCAGGCCGAACUGGUACGCCAGGAAAUGCUCGCCUUGCAGAACAAAGAGAAGGUGCAGUCCGACACCGAACGCAUCCGCGCGGUGAUCAACGCGCAGCAGGAAAUGUCGGUCCGCGUCAUCGCCGCGGAAAAGGAGCG
rnacentral:misc_RNA from 1 species